GGCUCAGUGGCUCAGUGAUUAAACGUUAGGACUUGAAACCAAAGGGUCCCAGGUUCGAAUCCUGACUAGGAUA